rnacentral:rRNA from 1 species
UACGGAGGGAGCUAGCGUUGUUCGGAAUUACUGGGCGUAAAGCGCGCGUAGGCGGCUUUGUAAGUUAGAGGUGAAAGCCCGGGGCUCAACUCCGGAACUGCCUUUAAGACUGCAUCGCUUGAAUCCGGGAGAGGUGAGUGGAAUUCCGAGUGUAGAGGUGAAAUUCGUAGAUAUUCGGAAGAACACCAGUGGCGAAGGCGGCUCACUGGACCGGUAUUGACGCUGAGGUGCGAAAGGCGUGGGGAGCAAACAGG